rnacentral:rRNA from 1 species
UACGAAGGGGGCUAGCGUUGUUCGGAAUUACUGGGCGUAAAGCGCGCGUAGGCGGACAUUUAAGUCAGGGGUGAAAUGCCGGGGCUCAACCUCGGAACUGCCUUUGAUACUGUUUGGCUAGAGACCGGAAGAGGUAAGUGGAACUGCGAGUGUAGAGGUGAAAUUCGUAGAUAUUCGCAAGAACACCAGUGGCGAAGGCGGCUUACUGGUCCGGUUCUGACGCUGAGGCGCGAAAGCGUGGGGAGCAAACAGG